rnacentral:tRNA from 1 species
GUCCCCGUAGUUUAAUGGAUGAAAACGUGUGGCCACGGACCAUAAGAUUGAGGGUUCGAGUCCUUCCGGGGAUA